rnacentral:rRNA from 1 species
CACGUAGGCGGAUUGGUCAGUUAGGGGUGAAAUCCCAGAGCUCAACUCCGGAACUGCCUUUAAUACUGCCAGUCUUGAGUCCGAGAGAGGUGAGUGGAACUCCGAGUGUAGAGGUGAAAUUCGUAGAUAUUCGGAAGAACACCAGUGGCGAAGGCGGCUCACUGGCUCGGUACUGACGCUGAGGUGCGAAAGCGUGGGGAGCAAACA